rnacentral:tRNA from 1 species
GGCUUCGUAGCUCAUUUGGUAGAGCAGUUGCCGUGUUGAAGCAUGCGGUAUCUGUCGCUGGUUCGAAUCUAGUCGAAGCCC